rnacentral:rRNA from 1 species
GACGAACGCUGGCGGCGUGCCUAAUACAUGCAAGUCGAACGAGAGCAACCGGUGCUUGCACUGGUCAAUCUAGUGGCGAACGGGUGAGUAACACGUGGGUAACCUGCCCAUCAGAGGGGGAUAACAUCCGGAAACGGAUGCUAAAACCGCAUAGGUCUUCGAACCGCAUGGUUUGAAGAGGAAAAGAGGCGCAAGCUUCUGCUGAUGGAUGGACCCGCGGUGCAUUAGCUAGUUGGUGAGGGAACGGCUCACCAAGGCCGUGAUGCAUAGCCGACCUGAGAGGGUGAUCGGCCACAUUGGGACUGAGACACGGCCCAAACUCCUACGGGAGGCAGCAGUAGGGAAUCUUCCGCAAUGGACGCAAGUCUGACGGAGCAACGCCGCGUGAGUGAAGAAGGUUUUCGGAUCGUAAAACUCUGUUGUUAGAGAAGAACAAGUGCUAGAGUAACUGUUAGCGCCUUGACGGUAGCUAACCAGAAAGCCACGGCUAACUACGUG